CGGGACACGUGGUAUCCUGUCUGAAUAUGGGGGGACCAUCCUCCAAGGCUAAAUACUCCUGACUGACCGAUAGUGAACCAGUACCGUGAGGGAAAGGCGAAAAGAACCCCGGCGAGGGGAGUGAAAAAGAACCUGAAACCGUGUACGUACAAGCAGUGGGAGCACGCUUAGGCGUGUGACUGCGUACCUUUUGUAUAAUGGGUCAGCGACUUAUAUUCUGUAGCAAGGUUAACCGAAUAGGGGAGCCGAAGGGAAACCGAGUCUUAACUGGGCGUUAAGUUGCAGGGUAUAGACCCGAAACCCGGUGAUCUAGCCAUGGGCAGGUUGAAGGUUGGGUAACACUAACUGGAGGACCGAACCGACUAAUGUUGAAAAAUUAGCGGAUGACUUGUGGCUGGGGGUGAAAGGCCAAUCAAACCGGGAGAUAGCUGGUUCUCCCCGAAAGCUAUUUAGGUAGCGCCUCGUGAAUUCAUCUCCGGGGGUAGAGCACUGUUUCGGCAAGGGGGUCAUCCCGACUUACCAACCCGAUGCAAACUGCGAAUACCGGAGAAUGUUAUCACGGGAGACACACGGCGGGUGCUAACGUCCGUCGUGAAGAGGGAAACAACCCAGACCGCCAGCUAAGGUCCCAAAGUCAUGGUUAAGUGGGAAACGAUGUGGGAAGGCCCAGACAGCCAGGAUGUUGGCUUAGAAGCAGCCAUCAUUUAAAGAAAGCGUAAUAGCUCACUGGUCGAGUCGGCCUGCGCGGAAGAUGUAACGGGGCUAAACCAUGCACCGAAGCUGCGGCAGCGACGCUGAUGCGUUGUUGGGUAGGGGAGCGUUCUGUAAGCCUGUGAAGGUGUGCUGUGAGGCAUGCUGGAGGUAUCAGAAGUGCGAAUGCUGACAUAAGUAACGAUAAAGCGGGUGAAAAGCCCGCUCGCCGGAAGACCAAGGGUUCCUGUCCAACGUUAAUCGGGGCAGGGUGAGUCGACCCCUAAGGCGAGGCCGAAAGGCGUAGUCGAUGGGAAACAGGUUAAUAUUCCUGUACUUGGUGUUACUGCGAAGGGGGGACGGAGAAGGCUAUGUUGGCCGGGCGACGGUUGUCCCGGUUUAAGCGUGUAGGCUGGUUUUCCAGGCAAAUCCGGAAAAUCAAGGCUGAGGCGUGAUGACGAGGCACUACGGUGCUGAAGCAACAAAUGCCCUGCUUCCAGGAAAAGCCUCUAAGCAUCAGGUAACAUCAAAUCGUACCCCAAA
rnacentral:rRNA from 1 species